rnacentral:rRNA from 1 species
UACGAGGGGGGCUAAUGUUGUUCGGAAUCACUGGGCGUAAAGGGAGCGUAGGCGGGUGUUUAAGUUAGGUGUUUAAUCCCAGGGCCCAACCCUGGUCAGGCACCUAAAACUGGACAUCUUGAAUAGUGGAGAGGACGAUGGAAUUGGGGGUGUAGCGGUGGAAUGCCUAGAGAUCCCCAAGAACACCAGUUGCGAAGGCGGUCGUCUGGACACAUAUUGACGCUGAGGCUCGAAAGCAUGGGGAGCAAACAGG